rnacentral:rRNA from 1 species
AACGAACGCUGGCGGCAUGCCUAACACAUGCAAGUCGAACGAGACCUUCGGGUCUAGUGGCGCACGGGUGCGUAACGCGUGGGAAUCUGCCCUUGGGUCCGGAACAACAGUUAGAAAUGACUGCUAAUACCGGAUGAUGACUUCGGCCCCAAGAUUUAUCGCCCAGGGAUGAGCCCGCGUCGGAUUAGCUAGUUGGUGAGGUAAAGGCUCACCAAGGCGACGAUCCGUAGCUGGUCUGAGAGGAUGAUCAGCCACACUGGGACUGAGACACGGCCCAGACUCCUACGGGAGGCAGCAGUGGGGAAUAUUGGACAAUGGGCGAAAGCCUGAUCCAGCAAUGCCGCGUGAGUGAUGAAGGCCUUAGGGUUGUAAAGCUCUUUUACCCGGGAUGAUAAUGACAGUACCGGGAGAAUAAGCUCCGGCUAACUCCGUGCCAGCAGCCGCCGUAA